UGGGGGAAUAUUGCACAAUGGGCGCAAGCCUGAUGCAGCAACGCCGCGUGAGGGAUGACGGCCUUCGGGUUGUAAACCUCUUUUAGCAGGGAGGAAGCGAAAGUGACGGUACCUGCAGAAAAAGCACCGGCUAACUACGUGCCAGCAGCCGCGGUAAUACGUAGGGUGCAAGCGUUGUCCGGAAUUAUUGGGCGUAAAGAGCUCGUAGGCGGUCUGUCGCGUCUGCUGUGAAGUCCCGAGGCUCAACCUCGGGCCUGCAGUGGGUACGGGCAGACUAGAGUGCGGUAGGGGAGAAUGGAACUCCUGGUGUAGCGGUGGAAUGCGCAGAUAUCAGGAAGAACACCGAUGGCGAAGGCAGUUCUCUGGGCCGUAACUGACGCUGAGGAGCGAAAGCGUGGGGAGCGAACAGGAUUAGAUACCCUGGUAGUCCACGCCGUAAACGUUGGGCGCUAGAUGUGGGGACCAUUCCACGGUUUCCGUGUCGCAGCUAACGCAUUAAGCGCCCCGCCUGGGGAGUACGGCCGCAAGGCUAAAACUUGAAAGGAAUUGACGGGGUCAUAGCUGUUUCCU
rnacentral:rRNA from 1 species